rnacentral:rRNA from 1 species
UGAGGAAUAUUGGUCAAUGGACGGAAGUCUGAACCAGCCAAGUAGCGUGCAGGAUGACGGCCCUAUGGGUUGUAAACUGCUUUUGUAUGGGGAUAAAGUUAGGGACGUGUCCCUAUUUGCAGGUACCAUACGAAUAAGGACCGGCUAAUUCCGUGCCAGCAGCCGCGGUAAUACGGAAGGUCCAGGCGUUAUCCGGAUUUAUUGGGUUUAAAGGGAGCGUAGGCCGCGUUUUAAGCGUGUUGUGAAAUGUAGACGCCCAACGUCUGCAUCGCAGCGCGAACUGGGACGCUUGAGUACGCGCAACGUUGGCGGAAUUCGUCGUGUAGCGGUGAAAUGCUUAGAUAUGACGAGGAACUCCGAUUGCGAAGGCAGCUGACGGGAGCGGCACUGACGCUUAAGCUCGAAGGUGCGGGUAUCAAACAGG